UACGUAGGGUGCGAGCGUUAAUCGGAAUUACUGGGCGUAAAGCGUGCGCAGGCGGUUUUGUAAGCCAGAUGUGAAAUCCCCGGGCUUAACCUGGGAAUGGCAUUUGGGACUGCAAGGCUUGAGUGCGGCAGAGGAGACUGGAAUUCCUGGUGUAGCAGUGAAAUGCGUAGAUAUCAGGAGGAACACCGAUGGCGAAGGCAGGUCUCUGGGCUGACACUGACGCUCAUGCACGAAAGCUGGGAGCAACAGGAU
rnacentral:rRNA from 1 species